rnacentral:rRNA from 1 species
AUUGAACGCUAGCGGCAGGCUUAACACAUGCAAGUCGAACGAGCGGCGGCCGGGUGAGUAAUAUAUGGGAAACUGCCUGGGAGCGGGGGAUAACUACUCGAAACAGUGGCUAAUACCUCAUACCAUCAGAUCGGCCCAGAUGGGAUUAGCUAGUAGGUGGGGUAAUGGCUCACCUAGGCAACGAUCCCUAGCUGGUCUGAGAGGACGACUAGCCACACUGGGACUGAGACACGGUCCAGACUCCUACGGGAGGCAGCAGUGGGGAAUAUUGCACAAUGGGCGCAACCCUGAUGCAGCCAUGCCGCGUGUGUGAUGAAGGCCUUCGGGUUGUAAAGCACUUUUAGCGAGGAAGCGUUAUCUGCAGAAUAAGCACCGGCUAACUACGUGCCAGCAGCUGCGGUAAUAC